UGUCCCAUGGCUUAAUUGGCUAUAGGUCUGACUGCUAAUCGGAAGGUCGAGAGUUCAAGAGUUCGAGCCUCUCUGGGGCAG
rnacentral:tRNA from 1 species